rnacentral:lncRNA from 1 species
GUCCAUUGAUUACUGUAACACCAUUCAUAAUGAUAUCACAAUAAUCCUUCUUUAUACAAAUUUCAUAACCGUUUAAGGCCAAAUGACCAACGAAAAUGACAUUCAUUAAGAAACUAGGACAAUAGUGACAUUCACCAAGGGCAAUUAUGUGAGAAUUUGAAAUAAUUUGAAUAUUACCUAAUGCUAGAACUGGAACAGUUCUUCCAUCUCCAAUAUUUAGGAAUUUCUCAUUGUUACCGAAAUUCUCAAUGACUUGCAGUCCUUUCAACGUAUUACA